rnacentral:rRNA from 1 species
GUUGCCUACGGGACGCAGCAGUAGGGAAUCUUCCACAAUGGGCGAAAGCCUGAUGGAGCGACGCCGCGUGAGCGAAGAAGUAUUUCGGUAUGUAAAGCUCUAUCAGCAGGGAAGAAAAUGACGGUACCUGACUAAGAAGCUCCGGCUAAAUACGUGCCAGCAGCCGCGGUAAUACGUAUGGAGCAAGCGUUAUCCGGAAUUACUGGGUGUAAAGGGAGCGUAGACGGAUGUGCAAGUCUGAUGUGAAAGGCGGGGGCUCAACCCCUGGACUGCAUUGGAAACU